rnacentral:rRNA from 1 species
GUUUAAUUUAUUCGCAGUAAUUAAUAUUAAUAAAAAAAGAAAUUUUGUUUUAGUAAUAAUAUAUAGUAUUGGUAAAAUUUGUGCCAGCUACCGCGGUUAUACAAAUAAUGCAAAUAAAAAUUUUUAGUAUUAGUUAAAUUGUUUAUAUUAAUUAAUAUAAAUAUAAAUUUAUUAGGUGAAAUUUUUAAAUUUAUCUAUUUAUUAUUUUUAAAAAUUAUUUAAGCUAUAAACUUUUUGUAAUAAACUAGGAUUAGAUACCCUAUUAUUGAAAAUAAAUAAUAAAAAUACUAAAGUAGUAGUAGUUAUAUUCUUAAAAUUUAAAAAAUUUGGCGGUGUUUUAGUCUAUUUAGAGGAAUCUGUCCUGUAAUUGAUAAUCCACAUUGAACCUUACUUAAAUUUGUUUAAUUUGUAUAUCGCCGUCAUCAGAAUAUGUUAUAAGAUAAAAAUUUUCUAAAAAUUUAAUUAAAUAAAAUGUCAGGUCAAGGUGCAGUUUAUGUUUAAGUAGAGAUGGAUUACAAUAAAUUUAUUUAUAUGGAUAAUUUUUUGAAAUAGAAAUUUGAAGGUGGAUUUAAUAGUAAUAUAAAAUAGAUUAUUUAUAUGAUUUUAGCUCUAAAACAUGUACAUAUCGCCCAUCGUUCUUAUUUUUAAAAUAAGAUAAGUUGUAACAUAGUAGAUGUACUGGAAAGUGUAUCUAGAAAGACAAUUUAAAGCUUAAUUAGUAAAGUAUUUCAUUUACAUUGAAAAGAAAUUUGUGCAAAUCAAUUUAAAUUGACUCGAAUUUUAAAGAUUUAAUUAUAUAUAAAAGUUACUGUAGAAUAAUUAUUUUAAAUAUAUAAUUAGAAAUGAAACGUUAAUCGUUUUAAAAUAUAUCUAGUUUUUUAAGAAAUAAAUUUAAUUUAGAUUUAUAAAUUAAAAAUUUUAAUUAUAUAAAAUUUUUAUUUUAUGAAAUUAAUAUUUUAAGGGAUUAGCUUUAAAAUAAAAAUUUAAAUUUUUAAUAAGAUAUUUAAUAAAUGUAAGCUUAAAAAUAGUUACCAUUAAUAAAUUUGUUAUAAUUUAUUUUAAAUUUUUUAUUAUUUAUUUUAAAAUUAAAUUUUUUAUUAAAAUGUAAAUUUUAAUAAAUAAAAUUUAUUAAUUAUGAUAAAAUUAGUAUAUAAAUUUAUAUAAAUUAUUUAAAAUGAAAGGUUUAAAUAAGGAAUUCGGCAAAUUAUAUAUUCACCUGUUUAUCAAAAACAUGUCUUUUUGAAUUUAAUUUAAAGUCUAACCUGCCCACUGAUAAUUAUUAAAGGGCCGCGGUAUCUUGACUGUGACUAUUUUGGCAGAUUAGUGCAAUAAAUUUAGAAUUU